rnacentral:lncRNA from 1 species
GUAGACAUGGGGAUCAUUUGGGAGACGUCUGGAUAAGAACUAGAUUCCAGGGAUAACUCAAUUGAGACUUUAACUCCACUUCCAUCAAAGCCAAAGACCGAUGCGAGCUGCCAUGAGCCACCAGACCGUGACAAGAGUGAAAUGAGAUGUCACCUGAGUUCCUGGAAGAUGACUAGUUCCAGAAAGAAUGUGACUCUUCCUCCUCCCAUUAGCCUAUCUCUUCCUCAUUCAUCCUACCCCCCAUCUGUGACUUCCUGACCCAUCACUGUGGUGAGAGGUUCACUGGCUUCCUGAUCUGAGUUCUGUAAUGAAGUGUCCCCACAUGGAACUCAGUUUGAUUCAUGAGAGAAGACAGGAAGAGAUCAAAGGAAACUCAAAAUCUGAUAGAACUGUCCAAAGUAAGGAAGGGGUUCACUUUCAAGUCCUAGC